ACUCCGCAGCCCCCGGUGGGCACCGAGAGCUCUUCCUCCCGGAUUCCCCCUUUCACUCCCGCAGGUUCGGGAGGAGCUCACGGCGAACCGGGCCGGGCUCUCCCCGUGCCCCGGUUCGGUCGCUGGUCCUGGCUGCUCGGUGUUUUGAAUUCUUUAACAAUUUUUAGCCUAUUCACACUUAAUUCAGCACGGUAGAACCGAAACUUAAGACUGAAGGAGUGGGUGAAUCAUGGAAAGUGUGUGCUGUAAUAGUUUCUUUUUACAGAAUUGCUUUUUAAUUCUCCUUCUAAACCUCACAUUUAUCACCUGGAGCUGCCCAGCUUGGCCACAUCCCCGCUCCUUCUGUGCCUCCGAGGGUUUCCUGAGGGUUUCUCCAGCCUGGGUCUGGCACCAGUGGGAUGGAGAGGAGGCAAUUCCUGCCCUGGGUGGGAAAAACCCGGCAAAAACCGAGCUGGCCCUUGGGUUGUGUAAUGCCCAUGUCCUGCCUGGCCAUGCCUGGGCUUGGUGUGGAGCUGUGCUGGUGCCUCCAGGGAGCACAGUGGGGUUUAGAGAACGGGGUUUGGCCUCUGAGCAGGUUUAGGCUUGGCUUUAUGGAAAUUAGGGGCUGGAGAGUGGGGUUUGGCCCCUCAGCAGGUUUAGGUUUGGCUUUAUGGAGAUUUGGGUCUGGAGAGUGGGGUUUGGCCUCUGAGCAAUAUUUAGAUUUGACUUUAUGGAGCAGAGUGGGGUUUAGAAAGUGGGGUUUGGCCUCUGAGCAAUGUUUAGGUUUGGUUUUAUGGAGCAGACUGGGUAACAGCUCACCCCACGGACCAUGGGUCAGUUUGUGCCUGGACUCUGUGCCUCCCUCAGUGGGAGGGACCCUGACUUUGACCUGGCUGUGCAAAGCUUAAGGGCAGCUUUAAUAGCUAUUUUAAAUG